UACGUAGGGAGCAAGCGUUGUCCGGAAUCAUUGGGCGUAAAGCGCGCGUAGGCGGUUCUCCAAGUCCGUUGUGAAAGCCCCGGGCUCAACCUGGGAAUGGCAGUGGAAACUAGGGGACUGGAAUCUGGCAGAGGGGGGUGGAAUGCCGCGUGUAGCAGUGAAAUGCGUAGAGAUGCGGCGGAACACCGAUGGCGAAGGCAGCCCCCUGGGCUGAGAUUGACGCUCAGGCACGAAAGCGUGGGGAGCAAACAGG
rnacentral:rRNA from 1 species